CCCGCCCCGUGGUCCCUUCCGCGUUCCUCCGCAUAGGGCUUGCGUCCCGCGCCCCUCGGACAUCCCAGCUUCCCACACCGGGUGCAGAGCCGUGGGUGGGGUGGACGGCUAUCGGAGCGCAGAACCCUCAAGGUCCCCUGGGCCAGUCCCCGCCGGACUCCUCCCGACUCCCCGCGUGGCACGCGGAGGCGGACUCAAGUCUCCAGCGGCGGUGGGUCCUCACCUCCCCGCCCCGCCCGCAGACCUGUGGAACGCCAUGGAGUCGGUGGGCGCCGGCUGCACCCCGCGGCCGCCCAUCCACCCGCAGCCCGCGCGCCGCGUGCUGGCCGUGCUAUUCCUCGGGCUGUUGCUGGACCUGCUGGCCUUCUCGCUGCUGCUGCCGCUGCUGCCCGGGCUGCUGGAGAGCCACAGUCGUGCGCGCGACCCGCUGUACGGUUCGUGGCAGCGCGGCGUGGACUGGUUCGCCAUAAUGAUCGGGAUGCCGGCGGAGAAGAGGUACAACAGCGUUCUGUUCGGAGGUCUGAUCGGCUCGGGGUUCUCCCUCCUGCAGUUCGCGUCCGCGCCACUCGCCGGGGCCGCCUCGGACUGCGUAGGCCGGCGCCCCGUGCUGCUGCUGUCUCUGGUGGGCCUGGCCGCUUCCUACGCUGUGUGGGCUGCCUCCCGGAGCUUCGCGGCCUUCCUGGCCUCCCGGGUGAUCGGGGGCAUCAGCAAAGGGAACGUCAGCCUCUCCACGGCCAUCGUCGCUGACCUGAGCACGCCGUCGGCCCGCAGCCAAGGCAUGGCCGUCAUCGGGGUGGCCUUCUCUCUGGCCUUCACGCUGGGCCCCAUGCUCGGGGCCUCCGUGCCCGUGGAGGUAGCGCCCUGGCUCAGCUUGCUCUUCGCCGUGUCCGACCUGCUCUUCGUCUUCUGCUUUCUUCCUGAGACGCUGCCCACGGAGAAGCGGGCGCCCUCCGCCGCCCUGGGCCUGCGCACAGCCGCCGACCUGCUCAGCCCCUUGGCGCUGCUCCAGUUUGCAGCCGUCGCCCGCAGCCAGGACCCGCCCGGCACCGACAGGCUCCGCAGCCUGCGCCGCCUGGGCCUGGUCUACUUCCUCUACCUCUUCCUGUUCUCGGGGCUGGAACACAGCCUGAGCUUCCUGGUGCACCAGCGCUUCCAGUUCUCCAGCCUGCAGCAGGGCAAGAUGUUCUUCUUCAUCGGAGUCACGAUGGCCGCCGUGCAGGGCACCUACGCACGGCUCAUCCGCCCAGGCGGGGAGGUCGCGGCCGUGACGCGGCCGCCGCUGUCGUGGUGCCCUGCCUGUCCUCUGCAGUCGCCGGCUAUGGCUCACCCGCACAGAAGGGCACGGUGAUGGGCACACUGCGGAGCCUGGGCGCACUGGCCAGGGCUGUGGGGCCCGUGGUGGCCGCCUCUGUAUAUUGGCUGGCCGGUGCCCAGGCCUGCUUCACCACCUGUGCGGGGCUCUUCCUGCUCCCCAUCCUGCUGCUGCGUAAGCUGGGGCAUCCGACAGUAUCCCCCAAGACCGAGUAGUCACUUGGGACUAUAUGGAAGACCCUCUGUGUGCACCCGUCCUGCCCUUUGCUGGGCAGCGCCCCCGGGCCUCGCCCUGCUGCCCUCCCUUCUGCAGCCUGAACAGGCUCAGCCUCCCAGAGGCCUUUUCUGUCUCAGGUGGCUUAGGCCCUGCGCCAGGCUUUUGAAUGACAAAUAAAGCAACUAUUUUGUACCA